UGGGGAAUAUUGCGCAAUGGGGGGAACCCUGACGCAGCCGUGCCGCGUGAAUGAAGAAGACCUUAGGGUUGUAAAGUUCUUUCGGUAUUGAGGAAGGUUGAUGUGUUAAUAGCACAUCAAAUUGACGUUAAAUACAGAAGAAGCACCGGCUAACUCCGUGCCAGCAGCCGCGGUAAUACGGAGGGUGCGAGCGUUAAUCGGAAUAACUGGGCGUAAAGGGCACGCAGGCGGUUAUUUAAGUGAGGUGUGAAAGCCCCGGGCUUAACCUGGGAAUUGCAUUUCAGACUGGGUAACUAGAGUACUUUAGGGAGGGGUAGAAUUCCACGUGUAGCGGUGAAAUGCGUAGAGAUGUGGAGGAAUACCGAAGGCGAAGGCAGCCCCUUGGGAAUGUACUGACGCUCAUGUGCGAAAGCGUGGGGAGCAAACAGGAUUAGAUACCCUGGUAGUCCACGCUGUAAACGCUGUCGAUUUGGGGGUUGGGGUUUAACUCUGGCGCCCGUAGCUAACGUGAUAAAUCGACCGCCUGGGGAGUACGGCCGCAAGGUUA
rnacentral:rRNA from 1 species